UACGUAGGGGGCUAGCGUUGUCCGGAAUCAUUGGGCGUAAAGCGCGUGUAGGCGGUCCGGUAAGUCCGCUGUGAAAGUCGGGGGCUCAACCCUCGGAUGCCGGUGGAUACUGUCGGGCUUGAGUACGGAAGAGGCGAGUGGAAUUCCUGGUGUAGCGGUGAAAUGCGCAGAUAUCAGGAGGAACACCAAUUGCGAAGGCAGCUCGCUGGGACGUUACUGACGCUGAGACGCGAAAGCCAGGGAGCGAACGGG
rnacentral:rRNA from 1 species